GACGAACGCUGGCGGCGUGCUUAACACAUGCAAGUCGAACGGAAAGGCCCUGCUUUUGUGGGGUGCUCGAGUGGCGAACGGGUGAGUAACACGUGAGUAACCUGCCCUUGACUUUGUGAUAACUUCAGGAAACUGGGGCUCAUACCGGAUAGGAGCUCCUGCUGCAUGGUGGGCGUUGGAAAGUUUCGGCGGUUGGGGAUGGACUCGCGGCUUAUCAGCUUGUUGGUGGGGUAGUGGCUUACCAAGGCUUUGACGGGUAGCCGGCCUGGGAGGGUUACCGGCCACAUUGGGACUGAGGUAGGGCCCAGACUCCUACGGGAGGCAGCAGUGGGGAAUAUUGCACAAUGGGCGGAAGCCUGAGGCAGCAACGCCGCGUGCGGGAUGACGGCCUUCGGGUGGUAAACCGCUUUCGCCGGUGACGAAGCGUGAGUGACGGUAAUGGGUAAAGAAGCACCGGCUAACUACGUG
rnacentral:rRNA from 1 species